ensembl:lncRNA MIR3663HG MIR3663 host gene
AGCUCGGCGCGGUGCAUGGGGCUAGAACUCAGGGCCCAGCAGGUCUGACAAUGCAGGUUUCCCCGCUCGCCUGUUGGGUUUUUGAAACGCCCUCAGCGGGGUUUUCCUCCUAAUUCUGGUUUGGAGGAGCCAUCUCUCUCCAUCCCGUCUGCCAGCGGGGUUUGCUUCACACACAGACGUGGGCAGAUGGCAUCGGGGACACAGGGAAACCUGACCUUAGAGGAAAUGGAAAAGUUGGAGAGACACUGAGCACUGAUACGAAAUAAUUCUCUUGCUGAAAUACACGAAAGGAGUCCCAGCAGCCAUAUUAGUAUUUCCACGUCCUGUGUCAGCCCCAAGUAGAGAGAACUUGGAAUGGGAGGGGAAAUGGCAGCCAUCAGGAAAUGAAAUGCUGGCCCAGAGAAUUCUAAGCAAGUCAAUCACCAGUCCAAAAUGCUUCAUCUGGAGAAUUUCAAAGAGACAACCAACCACCUGUUGUCAAUUUCCAUUCACCACCCUAAGUGUUAAUGUAUCUCUGGUUUCCUAAAGUAUUGAAUAAGUAUGAAGCCAAUCAAGCUUUGCCAUGGAGUACCUGGACCAAUCAGUUACCUUGGUUGACUCUUAGUUCCUUCUUGGUAUCUCUGGUUCUAUUUAACACAAUGCACCCGGGUUCUAUGGCUCCAUAAGAGAUGCUCAAAUAAAGACUCUAAUAGCAAAUA